GGAAAACAAAGUGUAUGAUGAAGUCUUCAGACUGUGUCAUCAACUAUGUUGGUGUGUAUACAGUACUGGCCUCACUAUGGUGGUAAGCUGCUUUUCAUGUCUUAGUGUAAUAGGUUUCCAAAGAUAAGGUAAAACCAUUUUAACCAAUAUUUUAAUGUGUUUUAAAAAGAAUUUUUAUUAAUUCUUUGAGAAUUUCAUACAAUAUAUUUCUAUCAUAUUGACCUCCACCACUUCCCAGAUUUAUCCCCAUUUAUCUACCCAAGUUUGUGUUCCUUUUUUUUUUUUUUAAACCCAUUGAGUCCAAUUAAUUUUUCCCAAAUACUUUUAGGUGUAAGGCCUGUCCUGGGGCAUGGUCAGCCUGCUGGGGUCACACCCUUAAAGAAAAACUGACUCUUCCUCUCCUAGAAGCUACCAAAUACCAAAAGGGUGGGACUUUGUGUUCACCUCACCUCCAUGCUGGGAUCUUGCUGCCUUUGAGCUUCUUGCACAGAUUUUCUUGUGAUGUCGGCUAAGAUCCCAUGUUGUUCAGUGGUCCUCUGCAUUUCUCAAUAGUUAUGACUUUGAAAUUGCCUUUUCACCCUUUAGUUGGGUGGUGGUGUACUCUAAAGAUAAACAACCCACCAUUUUGUUAUCAAGAACCUCAAAUAUGAACAAAUCGAUAAGCCACUUUCCAUGUCAUCCUAUGUAUAAGUGUCUGCCUUGUUGGACCUGUUUCAGAAGAGUCCUGGCAAAAACCAUUCCCUUUAAGAAAUUGAGAUCAAGAACAUGUGACUAGUCCCAGUACAGUUCUUAACUCUGCCUUAAGCAAAACUAUCUUUAUGUUUUCUUGGAAUUUUGGAUGGUAUCUUUUUAUAUCUUUUAAAUUAAAUGUUGCCUUAUUUCUGUCUCUGUUGUAUAGGCUUGUUUCUGUGAUGAACAUACAAGGAGCAAGGUGUUUAAGCAAGAAAAGGGGAAACAACUUGUCCUAAAUGUGGACACGAAAUGCAGGAGACAAAGGAUCUCAGCAUGUCAACAUGCUCCUUGAAGUUUGGCAGGCAGAUGGAGCUUCUGGGUAUGAUGCUUACUGGAAGAGCCUGUCAUCUGACAAGGAGAUACUGGGUACCAUGAUGAUGAGGAAGAGGAGGAAGAAGCAGAGGAAGAAGAUGGGAAGGACUCAGAUGCUGAGUCAUCACAUCUGUUCACUAAUUUGAAUUUAGGAAGGACCCAUGCCAGUGGCUAUGCUUACAGUGAGGAGCAGGAGAACUAGGAGCAGCUCCUUGUUAGCACUCAGGAAAAGGGCAGACCAAAUCAUAAGGAUGCUCAAACAUACCCUCCUUUGGCCUUGUCCAAAAGGCUAGUCACACUGGGUGCAGGGGUAGGUUCUAGCAGUUUAAUAGGAACUGAUGUUUGGACUUCUCAGUGUAAGAAAAAUGAGUUGAAUAUAAGGCAAAUGGAAUAUCAUGGAUUAUUUCCAGUUUCAAUAAUCUGGUAGGUUUUGCCAGUUAGAUACAUAUAAAAUACAUGAUAAAGGAAUAGAAAGGAAAUAUAUUUAUUUGAAAAUAAAUUACUAUCUCUAUUAAAGCA
ensembl:lncRNA